CUGAGGCCCGAAACCCAGGGGAGCAAACCGGAUUAGAUACCCCGGUAGUCCUGGCUGUAAACGAUGCCCACUAGGUGUGGGGGGAUAAUCCCUCCGUGCUGAAGCUAACGCGUUAAGUGGGCCGCCUGGGGAGUACGCCCGCAAGGGUGAAACUCAAAGGAAUUGACGGGGGCCCGCACAAGCGGUGGAGCGUGUGGUUUAAUUGGAUGCUAGGCCAAGAACCUUACCAGGGCUUGACAUGCCGGUGGUACCUCCCCGAAAGGGGUAGGGACCCAGUCCUUCGGGACUGGGAGCCGGCACAGGUGGUGCACGGCCGUCGUCAGCUCGUGCUGUGAGGUGUUGGGUUAAGUCCCGCAACGAGCGCAGCCCCUGCCCCUAGUUGCCAGCGGUUCGGCCGGGCACUCUAGGGGGACUGCCGGCGACGAGCCGGAGGAAGGAGGGGAUGACGUCAGGUACUCGUGCCCCUUAUGCCCUGGGCGACACACGCGCUACAAUGGGCGGUACAAUGGGUUGCGACCCCGCGAGGGGGAGCCAAUCCCCAAAGCCGCCCUCAGUUCGGAUCGCAGGCUGCAACCCGCCUGCGUGAAGCCGGAAUCGCUAGUAAUCGCGGAUCAGCCAUGCCGCGGUGAAUACGUUCCCGGGCCUUGUACACACCGCCCGUCACGCCACCCGAGUCGGGGGCUCCCGAAGACACCUGCCCCAACCCGAAAGGGAGGGGGGGUGUCGAGGGAGAACCUGGCGAGGGGGGCGAAGUCGUAACAAGGUA
rnacentral:rRNA from 1 species